rnacentral:rRNA from 1 species
GGAAUAUUGGACAAUGGGCGAAAGCCUGAUCCAGCAAUGCCGCGUGAGUGAUGAAGGCCUUAGGGUUGUAAAGCUCUUUUACCCGGGAUGAUAAUGACAGUACCGGGAGAAUAAGCCCCGGCUAACUCCGUGCCAGCAGCCGCGGUAAUACGGAGGGGGCUAGCGUUGUUCGGAAUUACUGGGCGUAAAGCGCGCGUAGGCGGCUUUGUAAGUUAGAGGUGAAAGCCCGGGGCUCAACUCCGGAACUGCCUUUAAGACUGCAUCGCUAGAACGUUGGAGAGGUGAGUGGAAUUCCGAGUGUAGAGGUGAAAUUCGUAGAUAUUCGGAAGAACAUCAGUGGCGAAGGCGGCCUGCUGGGCUGUUGCUGACGCUGAGGCGCGACAGCGUGGGGAGCAAAC